AGAAUUAUAUACAUCCAGCCUCUCUUGUGGAUCAGAGAUAAACUGUACUCAUGCAACUCAUCACCCAAAAAAAAUGUCACCGGUAAUAUAUGAAUUGUUUUCUACCCUGGAGAAGGUUGCAUUUUAUGUGCGCUGAUAAAGACUUUUUUUAUUUAUAUAAAUUAAAAAUGGAACUGUAAGGAUAAAUAUGUUUGGUAAACCAGUUUAAGCUUUUGGUUUCUAUACUAUGAUUUGAAAAUUUUCAAAAAAUUGCGGAAGUUGAAAAUGUGGGAAAGAUCUAGCACAUCUUUAAUAUCCCAACUCAACUUGCGUUUUACCCCAAACUGGAUGGGAUAGGCUAAAAAUGAAUUCAUAUGAAAGCGUUAAAGAUCUUUAAUAUCCUAAAUCAAAACAAAAGGCCUCGAAGAGUAAUUGUUCCAUUCCAGUUGGACUUUCUGCUGACGUUUUUUGGCGUUCAGCGCCUAUAAGUAUCAGCUUCUUUCAGUCUCUAUUUUCAAAGAGAGAGGUAGAAGUCAGAAAAUAGAAGGGAGUUUUGUACUUCUCUUCAUCUAAACCAUUAUCUUUGUACCUAUCUUCAUGGGUUGUCUUCACUACAUAUGAACCUAUUGUAUAAGCUAUGUGUUGCUUUAACUAAUCCAAGUUUUAUUGCACUUUGAAUACGCAUAUUUGGAUGAAGUGAAGACUCAAUGAUGGAUAUCUAAUAAUGGUUAAUUUUCUUCUGAUAGGUAAAAGAAAAGAUAACUCAUCUUCUUCUUGAUUACCAAAAUUUCUUCUUGAAGAAGAUCAAUAGAUUAAUUAUUUCUUAUUUUAUAUUAUUAUUAGAUAUAAAUAUUGGGUAUUUAAUUAUUUAAAUUAGAAUAUUCUAGAGUUGUAAUUGUAUUAGUAUAUCAUUAUUAGGGAUUUGUUUCCUUUUAAAUUUUAGGAUUUUUCUUGGCCUCUCCUAGUAUGUAUGUACGUUGAUGUAAUCUCAUUGUUAUGGGAUCCUUGUUAUCUCUCCUUUUUAUUCCUUCUUUCCAUCUUUGUCCCACAUCAUUUCUACUUUGAUUUUAAGAAAUAAUAAGUUUAUUUGCCAAGUAUGGAGUAAUAAGUUUAUUUGACAACCAAACAUUUCAGUUUUAAAAAAUAUUGAAAAACUCUUUUAGAAAAAUUAAACUCAAUCGCGAGCCUUGCUUUUUCCAAUUUUAGUUGAUGCAAUAGAUUGCUUGAUUCAAAAUUUAGUGUUAUUCUUGGACUUGUUGUUCUCUUCUCACAGUAGUAGUAUAUUCGAGUAAUUGGAAUCCUCUUUUUUCUGGAUCUUGUAGGUUUAUCAGAUGAAGCUCUGCCAAAACGAUGUAAAGCUAAAGCAGUUGAUUAAAAUUAACUUGAAGUUUGUGUAUUUAUGUGGUCAUGCAGACACCCACCUUAUAUUGUAAAUUUGCACAAUCACUUGAUUUGUUCUGAUGACAGGAGGAGACUAUACUGUAUAUACAUAACAAAUAAAUAAUUAAAAUUGAUAGUUUCAUAAAUAUCCUCUCACACUUGAGUGGACGACGUAUUUGUUAUCAAAGAUAUUGCAGAAUUAAUUAACACUUUCAGUUGUUAAAAUAAUAACCCUUUAAAAAAAAAAAAAACAACUUCCACUGAUUGCUGCAGUUGUUACCUUAAAUCAUAAAAUGAAAG
rnacentral:lncRNA from 1 species